GGCACUCUAANGUGACUGCCGGUGNCAAACCNGANGAAGGUGGGGANGACGUCAAAUCAUCAUGCCCCUNAUGACCUGGGCUACACACGUGCUACAAUGGACAGAACAAAGGGCUGCGAGACCGCAAGGUUUAGCCAAUCCCACAAAUCUGUUCUCAGUUCGGAUCGCAGUCUGCAACUCGACUGCGUGAAGCUGGAAUCGCUAGUAAUCGCGGAUCAGCAUGCCGCGGUGAAUACGUUCCCGGGCCUUGUACACACCGCCCGUCACACCACGAGNGUUUGCAACACCCGAAGUCGGUGAGGUAACCUUUA
rnacentral:rRNA from 1 species